UAACCUACCCAUCAGAGGGGGAUAACACUUGGAAAAAGGUGCUAAUACCGCAUAACAGUUUAUGCCGCAUGGCAUAAGAGUGAAAGGCGCUUUCGGGUGUCGCUGAUGGAUGGACCCGCGGUGCAUUAGCUAGUUGGUGAGGUAACGGCUCACCAAGGCCACGAUGCAUAGCCGACCUGAGAGGGUGAUCGGCCACACUGGGACUGAGACACGGCCCAG
rnacentral:rRNA from 1 species